rnacentral:lncRNA from 1 species
AUCGGUCGAGAGGAUGAAAUUCUUCUCGGAAAUUGAUAUGUGAAGUUUAUCCUGCUCCCGUGGGGUCAAACUUGCCAACAAUUUGUAUUCCGAGGAACUCAAUCUUGGGCUACAUUCCUUCCAUGGUAGCUUUGAUAACUUUGUUUGCAGCGUGAUUAUCCGCAUAUUUCGAUGCUGCGAGGGCGAGGGCCACAUCACUUGCCUCUCGCAAUCGGAGGCUGUGUAAAACCUUACGUGGUCUUCAGUCAAACCCAGUUGAGCCAGCUCAAACGGAGUUAAGCUGAGAAAAAAGCUUCGCUCGGUCUUCGACAAAUCCAAACGUGAAAUGUCGCAGUUCACUUGAGUAAGCUUUUUUUCGAUCUCUUUUAUCCGUCGAUUUCUUUCGCGGGGCACCAGCCGUUGCUGUAACAAAUUUCUUUGGGAUUUUGAUGCCACGAGGAAUUUGUAUUCCGAAUCAGUUAUCCCUAGUUUUUUCUUUUCCUUGUCAUCGAUCUCUUUCAAGAAUUUCUUCUCCCCGCAAUCAAGCUCCAAAUACUUUCUAUCCUCGUGAGAAAUCUCCUCGAACCUUGACGUCAUUUGCUUCAUUAUAACCUGCCGCUUUUCCAACGGAUCGCUAACCAUAAGCUCCAAAUCCCUGUCCGUAACCGGAAGUAAUAGUCUCUCCGACGGGGAUAACUUCCUUAUCAAUUUCCUCUGUGCCUCAUUUAAUGUUAUAUUUCUGUGAUUGUCCGGUCCAAUUUUCUCCAGCCUCUUUCUAAGAUCGAUCAGGAAUUCCCGACGACCCUCGUAAGCCAGAAGUUUUCUCUUUUCACGAUCAGAGGCUACCAGAAACUUGAAGUCCGAAUCUGUCGUAGGAAGUAGAUCUUUUUCAGCGUCGGUUAGAGACUUCAGAAGGUGUUGCUCCUUCCUACUCAAAUGAAUUAUCUUCCUUUGAGUAGGACAAGUUUUCUGCAAAAACGAGUUGGGAUGUAGCUCCUUGGUGGCUGAAUUACAAUGAAAUCUAUAUGACUUGACCGAAUAAUUCGAACUCACUUGCAAUCGUGCCAUCAGCUGCCGAAAUUCGCGGCGUCGUUGGUCUCUGGAAUGAUCGUUGUGUGUUUCAAAUUUCUUUUUCAAAUAUUCGAUCGGCGAAAUCUGUCUCAAACCUAAGCCACCUCUAAAAGAAUUCCAGAAGGAACGAUCGGAGUCAGCGAGUGCGGCGAAACAGGAUCUGGAACCUCCUCCGCAUUGUCGGUCCUGUCGUAGCCAGGAUUCUUCGUCAAACUCUUGCCUGAAGCGACGAAUGAGUCCGUGGAUUGACUUAGAAAAAUGAGCGGCAAUCGAUAGGCUGAUGCAAUCGAGUGGAAAUUUUCUCAAACUACAUUACUCGAUCGUUAAAUCGUGUGGGCUCCAGGAUUGUGUACCGGAAAUUAGUAAAAUGUCCGCCUCGCAUUCUCGCGUACAAGAACUUAUAGCAACAAAGGCAAAGUGUGGUCAUCGAUAUGACCAUAACGAUCGUAAUCAUCAGCUUCUGGAAAACGGUUUGUGGUGGAAUACCAUCUGAACCAGUUUCAUCCAAGGCUGGUCUCGCAGGUUCGACUCUAAUGGAGUUUUCAUCGUCCUUGCGAAGUACUCUGAGAAACAAAUUAUCACCCCUUAAUAACAACUGCAGAAAAUUGGACUAGCAAAUAUCAGAAGAACAGUUUUUUUUUAUACAUGAACGUACGCCGUGCUUCCUCGCAUGUAAUUCUCCGCCCUAGUCAACUGACUCUGGUGAAUAAACUGGUUGCGUCCAAGCCAGUAGGCCAAAUCAUUCCUACCGAUUUCCUUCAGCGCUAACUCAACGCGGUGAUGAGCCUUCUCGGAUAGGUUUUGAGGGUUUUCAAGCCAAGAUAUUAAUAAAUGUUCGCAAUCGAAUUUUCUCCGAAAUCUUGAGCUCCGAGAAGAAUCGGCACGUCGCUGAGGAUACGGCAGAAGAAGCAAUUUGUAAAAUAGUACACAUUCAUCUGGUCCAAGGUUACUUGACACGUACUCCAAUUCCGGUGCUAAUUGGAUUUGAUACGCUGCUGAGGUUACCUUAUGCGUGAAAAAUCGCUGGUCAGUACGUUUGGUGCAGAAGUUAAUGGCCUGUACAGAUUACCUGAAGCCAGAUGAUGAUGACACUCCAGCUACGGUUGAACGGUGUAAUGAAGUCAACCGAUCAUUUCCCCGCACAAGCGUUUAUUUCAGUGUACUUGAAGCGAAACUAUGCGGAUUUUAGACCCACGUCAGACCAUCGGAAUCGUGCCUUGAUGGAUUGCGAAUAAGAGGUAGACGAGAGUACCAAAAUAUGGGCCUCGAGAAAUAAAAAAGUCCUGUUGAGAAGUGAACAUUGGGCGACAAAUACGUAAGAAGUUAUUCAAACUGAAUUUCGAAAAUAAGUUUCCACUUAAGAGGCAUUGGGAAUUUCUGUCGCUACAUAAAAAGAAUUUGACAUUUUUUGGAUGUAAGAUUUCAUUCACUGGGCAUAGCAAGUUAAAACUUAAGAAAUCCAAAGUAAUUGACCUUUCUUUUUAGCCGAUUUUAGAGGAAAUUUUUUUUCUUCAACCUCUCUUGACUAAUUGGACCUCGAGGGGUUUGAAAAGGGUACUUAAACGGACGAACGACUGACAGCUGAGAAUAUGGGGAGAAAUAUUUGCUGGCCAAUCUAUCACUUUUGUUCUGCUGCUCGCAGCGACUAUAAACUACUAAUUGGAUCUCGAGGAGGAGUGCCAGAAAGUGCUCUAAAAAAAGCAAACGUCCAACAGUUGAGGAAGUAUAAAGAAAAUGCGUUGAAAAUUGGUUUUUACUCAUUUUAAUUGAUGUUACAUGAGAUGAAGACAAUACAAUAACAUACAUAAUACUUCACAACAUGUCAAAAGUGUGUUGCACCUGUUCACAUGACAAAACUUAUGCUCUACAUUAAGAUUAUAAUAAUAACUACGUAAUAUGAUGUUAUUCUUAUCCUGCCUAACAUAAGACAUUAUAGACUACACCUAUUUCCUCACAUAAUAAUUAGAAUUGUUGUGUCAUAUUCAAACAUGUUUUUGCUUAUGUCUUUGUCGUUUACUCUAAUUGUAUUUGUUAACUUAUGAUAACUACACACUCUAACUCAAACACUUGUACUAAAAUUGGAGAAAAAUA